GUGCCAGCAGCCGCGGUAAUACGAAGGGUGCAAGCGUUACUCGGAAUUACUGGGCGUAAAGCGUGCGUAGGUGGUUUGUUAAGUCUGAUGUGAAAGCCCUGGGCUCAACCUGGGAAAUUGCAUUGGAUACUGGCAGGCUAGAGUGCGGUAGAGGAUGGCGGAAUUCCCCGGUGUAGCAGUGAAAUGCGUAGAGAUCGGGAGGAACAUCUGUGGCGAAGGCGGCCAUCUGGACCAGCACUGACACUGAGGCACGAAAGCGUGGGGAGCAAACAGGAUUAGAUACCCUGGUAGUCC
rnacentral:rRNA from 1 species